UACAGAGGUCUCAAGCGUUGUUCGGAUUCAUUGGGCGUAAAGGGUGCGUAGGCGGCGCGGUAAGUCGGGUGUGAAAGCCCCGGGCUCAACCUGGGAGGUGCGCUCGAGACUGGUCUGCUAGAGUUCGGGAGAGGAGCGUGGAAUUCCCAGUGUAGAGGUGAAAUUCGUAGAUAUUGGGAAGAACACCGGUGGCGAAGGCGGCGCUCUGGACCGAGACUGACGCUGAGGCGCGAAAGCGUGGGGAGCAAACAGG
rnacentral:rRNA from 1 species